UACGUAGGGAGCAAGCGUUGUCCGGAAUCAUUGGGCGUAAAGCGCGCGUAGGUGGCUUCGUAAGUCCGUUGUGAAAGUCAAAGGCUCAACCUUUGAAAGCCGAUGGAUACUGCAGGGCUAGAGUCCGGAAGAGGCGAGUGGAAUUCCUGGUGUAGCGGUGGAAUGCGCAGAUAUCAGGAGGAACACCAAUAGCGAAGGCAGCUCGCUGGGACGGUACUGACGCUAAGGCGCGAAAGCGUGGGGAGCGAACAGG
rnacentral:rRNA from 1 species